AUUUUCCUCCGGAAGUGCGGAUCCCAGCGGCGGUCGUGUAGCUGAGCAGGCCUGGGGCUUGGUUCUAUGUCCCUGUAGCUAUGUUUCCAGUGUCCUCUGGGUGUUUCCAAGAGCAACAAGAAACGAAUAAAUCUCUGACCCUUCUCAGGUGCAGCCAGAGAGACACUAGCCCACUGAUGGACGGACAGACGUGGGCAGGGUCCGUGUCACUAAACCACCCACCACUGCCACAGCUGCCUACAACAGACACAUCAGAUGACACUCCGGGCAUAUAAAUGAUUUUCACUGAGGACUUACUGGUUUUAAUAAUAGGUCCUGGUGUAGAGAAGUCCCUCAACCUAUUGUGCAAUGAGUUUUGAGAAGCGGCCCCGCAGCGCCUCCACCCCAGAGACCCGGACCAAGUUCACACAGGACAAUCUGUGCCACGCCCAGCGCGAGCGCCUGGACUCGGCCAACCUGUGGGUGCUGGUGGACUGCAUCCUUCGCGACACCUCCGAGGACCUGGGACUCCAGUGUGACGCCGUGAACCUGGCCUUCGGGCGCCGCUGUGAGGAACUGGAGGACGCGCGGCACAAGCUGCAGCACCACCUGCACAAGCCCCAGCUCACACCCCCCAACACCCCCAAGCUGGUGAGUGAGGUGGAGGAGCUGUACAAGUCCAUCACAGCGCUGCGGGAGAAGCUUCUACAAGCGGAGCAGUCCCUGCGCAACCUCAAGGACAUCCACAUGAGCCUGGAGAAGGACGUCACUGCCAUGACCAACAGUCUCUUCAUCGACCGCCAGAAGUGCAUGGCCCAUCGUACUUGCUACCCCACCAUUCUGCAGCUGGCUGGCUACCAGUGAGCAGCGGCACGGUGCUUCCCCCCAAUCCCCCAAAUAAACAGUGCGUUAGCUUUC
ensembl:lncRNA TEKT4P2 tektin 4 pseudogene 2